GUGGGUGAGUACUAACUUAUUAUUGUGUAGUUUCAUAAAAGCCUUACUCUUUUCAGUCACAUAACUUUUGUUCAUCUGCUAAUAAUAGGACUAUCCAUACACAAAGAUGUAUUGUGGAUUUAAGUAAUAUCUGCGAAUAUUUAUGUGAAAAUGUAUUAGUGUUCUGCUGACAUGAGAUCUGAAAAUGUGUUCUAGGACCUGAUAUGGAUUAAUCCAAUGAUCAACGUUUUCCUUUGUAUCCCUGUUUUGUAUACGCUGCCAUUACAUGAUGGUCAUAUGUCCCGGAUGAUCGGGAGAAGUCACGUGGUUCAAUUAUUAUUAUUUUUUUACGUGGUUCAAUUAUCUGUUAAUAAAAAUUUUUUACCAUGCAUUUAGCAUCAGGCAAAGCCUGCAAUCAAUCUAUUAAGACAGAAACAAUAUCUUACUUAUUAUUAUGUUGUUAUGACAAUAUCAUGUGAUCAUCUGAGUUAGAACAAAAUCUAUUCAUUUUCAGGUAUAACUGUGCAAGUGCCCUGAAUCAUUCUGUUGAAAUGUUAUGUGUUUAAGAUUCUUUAUGACAUCAAGAUGUGGUUUGGGAAGGACCUUCAUCUAAAUCUGAAGAUAGGACAUACUGGCUCAAAAAGGUGUUUCUGAUAUGGAGAAAAACCCUGCACUGCUCAUUUUAUUUCUUCAUCUUGAGAAUACAGCAAGUUUACCUUUUGUCUGGAAAAUGAUUCAGCAAAGCUAACACCAACAACAAUUUUUCAUGGCACUUUAAACCACCUUGAUGUGAGGAGCCAGCAUCAGAAUGGAUGGUGUCAAUAUCCUGAAAGUGGAGGUAACAGAGGUGGAUCUCGAGACUUGGCCAUGUUCUAGAUUAUAACUGGAUUAUCACAAGUGCUGUCGCCCCUGCUGUAUAUGACGCCCCCACCACCUACACCAGGACCGACGUUGCCUACUACUGACCUACACCUUCAUCCUGCCACCACCACCCAUACUACCUACAAAAAACUGUAUUGUAAUUAUGCUUUUCACUGUAUUGUAUGAUGUGGUUUUCUCAUUUAGGGUAACUACACUAUGGCAACAA